AUGUAUAGCUAUAUCUAAUUGUUUUAUUAAAUGAGGCAAUAUCGAUUUGAUCGAAUAAAAUUCUGGGUAGAAUUAUGAUAAUGACAUUGUUUACCCAUGAGUCUUGACCAAGUUACGUGCCAGCAGUCGCGGUAAUACGUAGAAGACAAGUGUUAUUCAUCUUUAAUGGGUUUAAAGGGUACCUAGGCGGUGUAUUAAGCCAGGAACUGAUAUACUAGAGUUAUGUAUGAGGAAGUUUUAAAGUACUAGAGGAGUAGAGAUGAAAUUCAAUAAUACCUUUUUUUUGAUAAAAACUUCGGCACAGGUAUAGGUGAAAACAUCUUCUUAUGGAAUAACUGACGCUGAGGGACGAAGGCUUUUAAUCGUGAACAGGAUUAGAGACCCUGGUAAUGAAAGCAGAAAACGCUGAGUGUCAUAGAUUAGAUAAAAAUUUAUUCUAUAAAUGAAAGUGUAAGCACUCCACCUCAAGAGUAAUUUGGCAACAUUGGAACUGAAAUCAUUAGACCGUAUUUGAAACCAGUAGUGAUGUAUGUUAUUUAAUUUGAUAAUCCGCAAAAAACCUUACCACAACUUGAAUGUCUAUAUUAUUUUUAUCAUACUUUGUGUGUAGUUGUAUAACUUAGACUGGUUAUGCAAUAAUAGAUAAAAUCAUAGGUACAAGUGUUGCACGGGUCUACAGUUAAUGUCGUCAGACUAUGGUUAGUUCCAUUAAAUUAACGUAAACCCUUGCUCUAU
rnacentral:rRNA from 1 species